rnacentral:rRNA from 1 species
AAGUCGUAACAAGGUUUCCGUAGGUGAACCUGCGGAAGGAUCAUUACUGAGUCUAGGUUCUCUUCAGAGGCCUGACCUUCCAACCCAAUGUCAAAAUUACACCUUGAAUGUUGCUUCGGCGGGACGGUCUUUCCGGACCGCCGGAGGAUUGGUCCUGCCAGUCCUCUGGAGCGUUUGCCCGCCGACGGCCUCUUCAUAAAUACUUGUCCGAAACCGUGACGCCUAAAAACAUAUCCAUGAAUAAUGGUCAAAACAAAACUUUCAACAACGGAUCUCUUGGUUCUGGCAUCGAUGAAGAACGCAGCGAAAUGCGAUAAGUAAUGCGAAUUGCAGAAUUUCCGUGAGUCAUCGAAUCUUUGAACGCACAUUGCGCCCUUUGGUAUUCCGAAGGGCAUACCUGUUCGAGCGUCAUUAUCCUUCUCUCCAUCCCCCGGGGUGUGGCAUUGGAGUCCAAGUCGGUCCCGACCAACUGGCUCUCAAAAAUAAUGACGGCGUCCGUGGGACCCUCGACACACUGAGCCCUUUCGAGAGCGCGUGUCGAGUUGCAAGGACCUUCCGGGCCGGUCUGAACCCAACCUUUUUUCUUUCUCAGGUUGACCUCGGAUCAGGUAGGAAUACCCGCUGAACUUAA